rnacentral:rRNA from 1 species
UACGUAGGCGGUUUAUUAAGUCAGAUGUGAAAGCCCCGGGCUUAACCUGGGAACUGCAUUUGAUACUGGUAAGCUAGAGUAUGGUAGAGGGGGGUAGAAUUUCUGGUGUAGCGGUGAAAUGCGUAGAUAUCAGAAGGAAUACCAGUGGCGAAGGCGGCCCCCUGGCCCAAUACUGACGCUGAGGUACGAAAGCGUGGGUAGCGAACAGGAUUAGAUACCCUGGUAGUCC